rnacentral:lncRNA from 1 species
UAGGUAUUCCUUGCAAUUCAAGUAAUCAGCAAAGCUUUUUUAAAGAGUGGGGAAUUUCAGUGAGAGGUAAGGAAAGCUAGAGUUUUCUUUGAGAGGUAUUUCUUGAAUUGAUUAUUGUGGAAAAGAAGAGUUAUUAGGGUUUUGUGAGGUCAUAGAAGUUUUGAAGAAGGUUAUUCAAGGGUGAGCUUUCUAGUUACAAUUAUAAUGAAGGAAGUGUUAUUUUCAGUGCACUGGUGAGUAAGGAAGCAUAAGGAUCAGAGUAGCACAACGAAUGAUGAUGGGCAUGUCAUUACCAAUCAGUGGUAUGCGUGAAGAGCUUUCUUAAUCAAGUGUUGAUGGUUUGGGCAGUGAUAUCAUUAUCUGGGAAUGAGUUGAGAAUGUUUAGUUAUCUUCAAAGGUUAGAAGUGAGUUACUCACAAAGGAAAUAGGUAAGAGAUACAGAAGAAAAAGUGAGCUUACGAUUUCAAGCUAUAGUGUCAACCUUAAAUUGAGGAAGUAUUAAUAGAGGUGGAAUAGAGAGAGGGGUCAAGGGAUGAAGGAGAUGAUUUAAGCUAUGAUUUUGAGUUGUAGCAUCAACCUAGAGGUAAGGAAGUGUUAAAAGAUAGUUUGAACAAAGAGGAGAUUCAAGUUCUUGGUUUGAUAAGAAUUGAGUAAGAUUUGGUUGAAGAGUAUGAAGUCUGGGGUCUAAAGUGAAGUUGUAAAGAGAUUUCAUUAGUAUAGUUAAAAGUACUAUAACUAAAAUGGUUUGACAAUCCUAGUUUGAGAUGUAUCAUAAAGGGGUUUGGUACUGAUCAAGCUAGUGAUCUCAAGUCGAGGAGGAUAUAGAUCUAUGUAUGAUUACAGGAUAAUGGGUCAAGAAAUGCAUAUGGUUCAGGUUGACAAGUUGAAGGAGUGAGGAUGGAGGGUUCACUUUGGUUUUGUCGUUGCAAUGGAGAAAAGUUUUACUUUGGUAAUGAGAUAGUAUAAUUGGAAAUUAUGGUACUCAAGAGUGAAGAUCAAUAAAGCAUUGUGAAGCUCUCAGAAUAGAUGUGGUUAAAGGUGAUCAAGAGCAUACCAGUUGGUAGUUAAAUCAAAAGUUGUAGUGAUCAAGCUCGUGGUAUAGAGGUUCUUAGAGGAAGCAAGAGGAGGUAAAAAAGUAUCAAUUAAGGGUGGAUUUGAAGUUAAGACUAGUAGAGGUUUUAGAAGAGAUUUACAAGAAGUGGUGGAGGAUAGAUGAUGGGUUGGCAGUGUGGCAGAAACAAUAUGGUUGAUUAUGUGAAAGAAAGGUUCUUAAAAGUUGAGGUGUAGGGGAUUCAAUAUUGGUUUGAGAAUAAUGACUAUACCAAUCUACACCAUUAAACACUAGAGCAUUUUAGCAUAAAGACAAGGUUUUUCAUGUCAGUAAGUUGGAUGAGGAGUAAUAUAUUUGUCAAAUAGGUGGUUGUAUUAGAGAAUGUGAUGAUAAUAGGUUGUUCCUUUUAUCUAAUGAGUGAAUU